rnacentral:tRNA from 1 species
GCCGAUAUGGCGCAGUGGCAGCGCACAUUCUUGGUAAGAAUGAGGUCGUCGGUUCGAUCCCGACUAUCGGCU